rnacentral:rRNA from 1 species
CCCUACGGGGUGCAGCAGGCGCGAACACUUUACAAUGCGGGAAACCGCGAUAAGGGAACCCCGAGUGCCAGCAUCAAAUGUUGGCUGUCCGGAUGAUUAAAAAUCAUUUGUUAGCAAGGGCCGGGCAAGACCGGUGCCAGCCGCCGCGGUAACACCGGCGGCCCGAGUGGUAGCCGUUUUUAUUGGGUCUAAAGGGUCCGUAGCCGGCCUGAUAAGUCCUUUGGGAAAUCUGGCAGCUUAACUGUCAGGCUUCUAAGGGAUACUGUCAGGCUUGGGACCGGAAGAGGUAAGGGGUACUCCAGGGGUAGGAGUGAAAUCUUGUAAUCCCUGGGGGACCAUCUGUGGCGAAGGCGCCUUACCAGAACGGGUCCGACGGUGAGGGACGAAAGCUAGGGGAGCAAACCGGAUUAGAUACCCGGGUAGUCCUAGCUGUAAACGAUGCUCGCUAGGUGUCAGACACGGUGCGACCGUGUUUGGUGCCGCAGGGAAGCCGUUAAGCGAGCCACCUGGGAAGUACGGUCGCAAGGCUGAAACUUAAAGGAAUUGGCGGGGGAGCAC